rnacentral:rRNA from 1 species
CCUACGGGAGGCUGUAGUGGGGGAUAUUGCACAAUGGGGGAAACCCUGAUGCAGUGACGCCGCGUGAGUGAAGUAGUAAUUCGUUAUGUAAAGCUCUAUCAGCAGGGAAGAAAAUGACGGUACCUGAGUCAGAAGCUCCGGCUAACUACGUGCCAGCAGCCGCGGUAAUACGUAGGGGGCAAGCGUUAUCCGGAUUUACUGGGUGUAAAGGGAGCGUAGACGGCAGUGCAAGUCUGGAGUGAAAGGCGGGGGCUUAACCCCCGGACUGCUCUGGAAACUGUACGGCUGGAGUGCAGGAGAGGUAAGUGGAAUUCCUAGUGUAGCGGUGAAAUGCGUAGACAUUAGGAGGAACACCAGUGGCGAAGGCGGCUUACUGGACUGUAACUGACGUUGAGGCUCGAAAGCGUGGGGAGCAAACAGGAUUAGAUACCCCUGUAGUC